GACGAACGCUGGCGGCGUGCCUAAUACAUGCAAGUAGAACGCUGAAGGAGGAGCUUGCUUCUCUGGAUGAGUUGCGAACGGGCGAGUAACGCGUAGGUAACCUGCCUGGUAGCGGGGGAUAACUAUUGGAAACGAUAGCUAAUACCGCAUAAUAGCAGUUGUUGCAUGAUAACUGUUUGAAAGGUGCAAUUGCACCACUACCAGAUGGACCUGCGUUGUAUUAGCUAGUUGGUGGGGUAACGGCUCACCAAGGCGACGAUACAUAGCCGACCUGAGAGGGUGAUCGGCCACACUGGGACGGAGACACGGCCCAGACUCCAACGGGAGGCAGCAGUAGGGAAUCUUCGGAAAUGGACGGAAGUCUGACCGAGCAACGCCGCGUGAGUGAAGAAGGUUUUCGGAUCGUAAAGCUCUGUUGUAAGAGAAGAACGAGUGUGAGAGUGGAAAGUUCACACUGUGACGGUAGCUUACCAGAAAGGGACGGCUAACUACGUG
rnacentral:rRNA from 1 species